ACUCAGUGGUAAAGUGCUUGUCCAGUAAGCAGGAGGCCCUGGGUUCAAUUCCCAG
rnacentral:tRNA from 1 species